UACGUAGGGCGCAAGCGUUAUCCGGAAUUAUUGGGCGUAAAGAGCUCGUAGGCGGUUUGUCGCGUCUGCCGUGAAAGUCCGGGGCUCAACUCCGGAUCUGCGGUGGGUACGGGCAGACUAGAGUGAUGUAGGGGAGACUGGAAUUCCUGGUGUAGCGGUGAAAUGCGCAGAUAUCAGGAGGAACACCGAUGGCGAAGGCGGAUCUCUGGGCAUUACCUGACGCUGAGGAGCGAAAGCAUGGGGAGCAAACAGG
rnacentral:rRNA from 1 species